UAAGGAUAGACAUUGGAGAUGUUAACCGAGUCAUAAUCAGGUUUAGGCCUGGUAUCCUAUUAUUAUUUACCAAAUGAAUUCAGAAUUAAUAUUGUAACAUAGACCUAAAAAAUCUAUAAAACAACUUUUAACAACGGAUCUCUUGGUUCUCGCAUCGAUGAAGAACGUAGCAAAGUGCGAUAACUAGUGUGAAUUGCAUAUUCAGUGAAUCAUCGAGUCUUUGAACGCAACUUGCGCUCAUUGGUAUUCCAAUGAGCACGCCUGUUUCAGUAUCAAAACAAACCCUCUAUCCAACUUUUGUUGUAUAGGAUUAUUGGGGGCCUCUCGAUCUGUAUAGAUCUUGAAACCCUUGAAAUUUACUAAGGCCUGAACUUGUUUAAUGCCUGAACUUUUUUUUAAUAUAAAGGAAAGCUCUUGUAAUUGACUUUGAUGGGGCCUCCCAAAUAAAUCUUUUUUAAAUUUGAUCUGAAAUCAGGUGGGAUUACCCGCUGAACUUAAGCAUAUCAAUAAGCGGAGGAAUUCCACUUCCUCCUCACGCUGAAC
rnacentral:rRNA from 1 species